rnacentral:lncRNA from 1 species
GAUAUCGAUAUAGAAUUGAAAAAGGGCUUCUUCCUGAAUAUCCAAGGGCAGGGCCAACUGAUGAUGUUGAAGAAUGAAGACAUUUUAGCAUGGAUUACUAGUAUAGAUUAUAGUAUCUCUUGUCCUUUAUGAUGUCUUUCUGAAAGUUAUUGGUGAAUACAAAUUGAGCUGUGAUCCCUCAACGUGGCCAACAACAUGCUCCACCAAAUACCUGAGCACAAUAUAGAAAGUGCACAUACAUGCAGGGAUGGAUUUACUGGGAGGGUGUGGGGUGUGUACCCCCUAGCCCUGGCCAGAGGGGGUGCAGGAGGGUGCUAUUUUUUAUGAUAAAGCAAAAAAGACAAAAUGAGAUACAAUAAUUUGAGUAAUAACAUGAUAAGUGAACUGUGAACAAUUACAAUUCAAAUACAGCAGUUGAUGGGUGGGCGGCACACAUGACCGACACAAUUCGGCAGUUGGCACCAGAGCACCCCCCUACCAGAUCAUGCUGGAUCCAUCCCUGCAUACAUGUACUGUAUCAUAUUUAAUUAAUGCUUGAGCAUAUUUGUUCAAAUUUAUUGACAUUAAUAAUUAAAUUAUGUUUGUUAUAGUAGUGUACAUUUUGCACCAGCCACUCUUGAAAUUAGACGUCAGCCACUUUUUAACUAGAUGGCCAUGGAUGACCUAAGAAAUUGUUUUCUUUAUUAAACAGCAACUUGCAAGCUUUGUGAUAUUUCGUGAAUACCUCAAAAGUUGUCAGCUGCUGUUUACAUUAUCUACUUCAUAUGUUUCGAUAAUUUUUGUUGAAAAGAUGCUGAAUUGUCAGCAUGUGACAAUUCAUUUCAAGCACCAUGUAAGUUGCCACACAUCACCCACAGUAUUUUUUGGACAAGCCAGGUUUAACACCCUGGCUGGUACAGUUAUUGUAUAUACCUGUAGUAUAAUUCACCAUGUUUGGUUUUUUAGUAUGCAUGAACACUAUUAAGUUAAAGGAG